rnacentral:lncRNA from 1 species
CAGGCACACAGGCUCACACAGACUCACAGAGACACACAGGCUCACAGAGACACACAGGCUCAUACAGACACAAAGGCUCACACAGACACACAGGCUCACACAGACACACAGGCUCACAGAGACACACAGGCUCACAGAGACACACAGGCUCAUACAGACACAAAGGCUCACACAGACCCACAGGCUCACACAGGCACACAGGCUCACACAGGCACACAGGCUCACACAGGCUCACACAGACACCCAGGCUCACACAGACACACUGGCUGACACAGACACCUAGGCUCACACAGACACACAGGCUCACACAGACACACAGGCUCACACAGGCACACAGGCUCACACAGACUCACAGAGACCCACAGGCUCACAGAGACACACAGGCUCACAGAGACACACAGGCUCACACAGGCACAAAGACUCACACAGACACACAGGCUCACACAGGCACAAAGGCUCACAAAGACUCACAGACUCACAGAGACACACAGGCUCACAGAGACACACAGGCUCACACAAAUACACAGGCUCACACAGGCACACAGGCUCACACAGGCACACAGGCUCACACAGGCUCACAGAGACACACGGGCUCACAGAGACACACGGGCUCACACAGGCUCAAAGACUCACACAGGCACAAAGGUUCACACAGGCACACAGGCUCAUAGAGACCCACAGGCUCAAACAGACACACAGGCUCACAGAGACACCCAGGCUCACACAGGCACACAGGCUCACACAGACUCACAGAGACACCCAGGCUCACAGAGACACACAGGCUCAUACAGACACAAAGGCUCACACAGACAGACAGGCUCACACAGACACCCAGGCUCACACAGACACCCAGGCUCACACAGACACACUGGCUCACACAGACACCUAGGCUCACACAGACACACAGGCUCACAAAGAACCCAGGCUCACACACACAGGCUCACACAGGCACACAGGCUCCCACAGGCACACAGGCUCACACAGACUCACAGAGACACACAGGCUCACAGAGACACAGAGGCUCACACAGACACACAGGCUCAAACAGGCUCAAAGACUCACACAGGCACACAGGCUCACACAGACUCACAGAGACACAGAGGCUCACAGAGACACACAGGCUCACACAGGCGCACACAGGAUCACAUAGGCACACAGGCUCACACAGGCACAGAGGCUCACACAGACUCACAG